UGAAACCAUUUGAGGGGAAAAAAGCCAUAGGCUAUAUACCUUUGGUCUUGAUUAACCCAAAGAAAAAGCACUGGCAUACUCUGUGCCAGCAUCCGCGAUUAUACAGAGGGUGCAAGCGUUAAUCUGAAUUACUGGGCGUAAAGCGUGCGUAGUAGGUUAUCUAAGUCGGGUGUGAAAUCUCCGGGCUCAACAUGGGAAUUGCAUUCGAUACGGAUAGCUAGAGUUCGGCAGAGGAAGCAGAAUAUCCGGUGUAGCGGUGGAAUGCGUAGAUAUCGGAAGAACAUCAGUGGUGAAAGCGGCUUCCUGGACCAGAACUGACGAUCAGGCACGAAAGCGUGGGGAGCAAAACAGGAUUAGAUACCAUGGUAGUCCACGCCAUAAACGAUGACAACUAGACGUUGGGAGGGUAAGCCUCACAGUGUCGCAGCUAACGCGUUAAGUUGUCCGCCUGGGGAGUACGGCCGCAAGGUUGAAAUCAAAAGGAAUUGACGGGGACCCGCACAAGCGGUGGAGCAUGUGGUUUAAUUCGAUGCAACGCGAAGAACCUUACCUGGCCUUGACAUCUGUCGAAUCCUUCAGAGAUGAGGGAGUGCCUUCGGGAACGACAAGACAGGUGCUGCAUGGCUGUCGUCAGCUCGUGUCGUGAGAUGUUGGGUUAAGUCCCGCAACGAGCGCAACCCUUGUCCUUAGUCGCCAUCAUUAAGUUGGGAACUCUAAGGAGACCGCCGGUGACAAACCGGAGGAAGGUGGGGAUGACGUCAAGUCAUCAUGGCCUUUAUGGCCAGGGCUACACACGUGCUACAAUGGCAGGUACAGAGGGAAGCCAACCGGCGACGGGGAGCUAAUCCCAGAAAGCCUGUCUUAGUCCGGAUUGGAGUCUGCAACUCGACUCCAUGAAGUUGGAAUCGCUAGUAAUCGCAGAUCAGCAUUGCUGCGGGGAAUACGUUCCCGGGUCUUGUACACACCGCCCGUCACACCAUGGGAGUUGAUUGCACCAGAAGCAGGUAGCCUGACCGCAAGGAGGGCGCUACCAUAGGUUGUCAAGAACGAA
rnacentral:rRNA from 1 species